rnacentral:rRNA from 1 species
UGGGGAAUAUUGCACAAUGGGCGCAAGCCUGAUGCAGCCAUGCUGCGUGUGUGAAGAAGGCCUUCGGGUUGUAAAGCACUUUCAGCGGGGAGGAAGGCGUUAAGGUUAAUAACCUUGGCGAUUGACGUUACCCGCAGAAGAAGCACCGGCUAACUCCGUGCCAGCAGCCGCGGUAAUACGGAGGGUGCAAGCGUUAAUCGGAAUUACUGGGCGUAAAGCGCACGCAGGCGGUCUGUCAAGUCGGAUGUGAAAUCCCCGGGCUCAACCUGGGAACUGCAUUCGAAACUGGUAGGCUAGAGUCUUGUAGAGGGGGGUAGAAUUCCAGGUGUAGCGGUGAAAUGCGUAGAGAUCUGGAGGAAUACCGGUGGCGAAGGCGGCCCCCUGGACAAAGACUGACGCUCAGGUGCGAAAGCGUGGGGAGCAAACAGG